UCAGGUUCUGAUUUAGCAAAAUGCUUAAGCCCGUGGGGAUUGUUUAAGCAUAGGCUUAAAGCCAUUGCAUGGUGUGUUAUAAGCUAUGGGUCUGCAGUUAAUGCCAGACUGACUCUGUAUCACCCCUUCAGAUAUAUUGGAGCUGGGUAGGAUGGGGACACAGUCAAAUUUCUGCCAAACUCACUUGAACGUGUGGUACAGCUCCUGUGUCACCUUUAUGCAGGAGGGCAAACAGCAGGAGAUCGAACGUAACAUCUGGACAUUGGGAGGGUGAGUUGUUACAAGAUCAGUGCUUGGCGCAGGGUGGCUGUGGCACUUUCCAUAUGUCACAAGUAGCCCUACGGCCAGAUUUACUCUAUCUUUGAACCGUGGCUUUAAAUGGCUGCUUAAACUUUCUCCCAAAGCUUGGGUUGCCUUGGUUACAGUCCAAUCCUUAUGCACAUCCCCAAGGCUAACACUACGGUUUUAUGAAUGUGAUGGUUUUAUUGUCACUUAUUUUAAUUAUUGCCUGAGCGUUGCUUUUAAAAACAGAAAGCAACACCAUUGCUUUAGCUUAUCAGAUAAUGCACCUUUAAUUUUGUUGGGUUUUUAAAAUAUUUUAAUUCUUGGAUUUUUAUCACAACUGCAAAACACUUGGGUAAUGACUUAAUCAUGGAGGUGUGAGAGCAGGAAAGUAUUCAUCAGAAUGGACUCUCUAUAAGGUGUUCAGCCUGAUGGCAGGAGCAAGACUUCCGUGGGAUAUGGGACUUACAUUGAUUUCCUGCCUGUCAGCAAAGUGUGCCUGAGAAGAAUGAGGAAAAGUUGUCUUUUGAAGAACUGGUGGUGGUUGAAGGGAAUAUGCAACAAGUCAUGCUGAAAUCUCUUUGAACCUGCUCCAGCUCCUUCCAUGCCGUGGUCAGUAAAGCCUAGCCUAGGUCUGAUAAAUGCUGGUUUUAGGGUAUCGUUGCUUUUGAUUUUGAGGUAGUCCAGCAGAUGAGGGAUAACAGGACCCCAGGAAAGGUCCAGAGAAGGUUUACAGUUGCCUUUCUUUGGUAACCAUGGUAGACACUUAGUGCCUUGGGUGAACAGCUCAGAAAGGAAUUGAGUUUUGAACUGUUUUGUUAUUGAUAUCUGAUUUCUGCAGUUGGUUCAUCACGUUGAUUUGAUAUUUGUUCACAGAGCUGCGUUGCCUACACUUGACAUACAUUUCAGUCCUGGAAGUCAGAGCUAGCAGAGAUAUAGGGUAGAAUCUCAUGGUGGUGGAAUUCUCAGUAGAAAACACUAGUGGUGGUAAUAGAGGGUAUGUUACCAAAGGAUGGCAGGAACUACUCAGUGCUAUCUGGAGGUUGGUAAUGUGCCAUUGAGGAAGCCGGAGAACACUAUUUCCAGUUUAAGCUGGUCUCAAUUUUUACACUAAAUUAUGUGAUGUUGGAAGGGCCUUCUUUUUAAUGAGAAAUUCUCUCUUUGCAGUGUUACCCACAACAGUAUUUCUUACUGUUAUAAUUAAAACCAUAUUGAAUUUUUAUCUCAAUAGAUUUCAGAAUUGUUGACAAAUAUUUUUAUUUCUCAAAAAUCUUUGUCUCCUUUCCCAAUUCUUUUUUCCUUCUUGGGUUUCUUCUGCUGGUCCAUUAAAGUUCCUGUGAUGAUUUUGAAAACUUUUUUGGAUAAAAAUUCAUU
rnacentral:lncRNA from 1 species